UGAAGAACUAUGAUAAGGAGCAGUAGCGGUUAGAACCUGUUAUAGAGAGUUGGCGGAUGGUGCAAGCCAAUCAGGAGAGAUCGUGAACUCGCCUUGGAGUUCCAGGCAUGAAGCAUUUAUUAGUGUCUGGCGUUUAUCCGCGUUAAGGAAUUUAAGCUGGGCGAGUUUUAUUUCGCCAAUGUGGGUGGUACCGCGGGAAGAUCAUACAUAAUCCUCUCGUCCCUUUU
rnacentral:ncRNA from 1 species